AGCGAACGCUGGCGGCAGGCUUAACACAUGCAAGUCGAGCGGACACUUUCGGGUUUCAGCGGCGGACGGGUGAGUAACGCGUGGGAACGUGCCCUCUUGUUCUGCAUAUCUCAGGGAAACUUGAUCUACUACCGGAUCCUCCCUCUUGGGGAAAGGCUGGCUGCCGGAGGAUCGGCCCGCAUCUUCUUAGCUAGUUGGUUAGGUACCUGCUCUCCCAGGCGAAGAUGCGUAGCUGGUCUGAGCGGAUGAUCCGCCACCAUGGGACUGAGACACGGCCCCGAAUCGGACGGGAGGCAGCAGAGGGGAAUAUUGGAGAAGGGGCGCAAGCCUAGUACAGCCACGCCGGGUGAGAGAUGAAGGGGGUAGGGUUGUAAAGUUCUUUUAGACGGGACGAUAAUGACGGUACCGGAGGAAGAAGCACCGGCUAACUACGUG
rnacentral:rRNA from 1 species